AGUGUUUCCACAUUGGAAAACUACAGAGCUUGGCUGGAUACGAUUCUGACUUUAUAGGAGGGAAUUACUUUUCCUUUAAGGCUGCAUUAGAAGUCAUCACAUACUAUACUUGCUAUUUGGACCUACGAGGCCAAAACAAACCAAAAGAAAACAAAACAACUCAAACAAACAGGAAGGAGAUUAGAGCUGAAGGAACUGAUCUUUUCUUAAUCGAUUGCAUUGAACAGAAUUGUCACUGCUCCAGUUGUCGCUGCAGGACUUGCCAGCUGAGGCAUCCUGCGCCUGUCACGUCAGGCCGUCCUGUUUACUCAUGGCCAUCAUCCUGCUCAUUUCUGAAGAUACCAUUUAUCUAGAGGACGGCAGGUCUAGGCUGUAGAUGGGGCUUGAGUAGGAACACUCUAAAGCAUUCCUGAGAGUUUUGGAACACAGACACUUAUCCUUCCUGGUUAACAGGAAUGACUUCAUUUUAGUCAGAAGUUAACUCUCAUGUGUUAUUGAAAUUUUUUUGGCUCUUCUUCAAGGGAGAUUAAAAAAAAAAAAA
rnacentral:lncRNA from 1 species